rnacentral:rRNA from 1 species
AACAGAUGGGGAGCUUGCUCCCUGAUGUCAGCGGCGGACGCGGUGAGUAACACGUGGGUAACCUGCCUGUAAGACUGGGAUAACUCCGGGAAACCGGGGCUAAUACCGGAUGCUUGAUUGAACCGCAUGGUUCAAUUAUAAAAGGUGGCUUUUAGCUACCACUUACAGAUGGACCCGCGGCGCAUUAGCUAGUUGGUGAGGUAACGGCUCACCAAGGCAACGAUGCGUAGCCGACCUGAGAGGGUGAUCGGCCACACUGGGACUGAGACACGGCCCAGACUCCUACGGGAGGCAGCAGUAGGGAAUCUUCCGCAAUGGACGAAAGUCUGACGGAGCAACGCCGCGUGAGUGAUGAAGGUUUUCGGAUCGUAAAACUCUGUUGUUAGGGAAGAACAAGUACCGUUCGAAUAGGGCGGUACCUUGACGGUACCUAACCAGAAAGCCACGGCUAACUACGUGCCAGCAGCCGCGGUAAUACGUAGGUGGCAAGCGUUGUCCGGAAUUAUUGGGCGUAAAGCGCGCGCAGGCGGUUUCUUAAGUCUGAUGUGAAAGCCCCCGGCUCAACCGGGGAGGGUCAUUGGAAACUGGGGAA